ncrna:Acinetobacter variabilis Pseudomonadales-1 RNA
CCAGCAUGAUUUAGUCACGUGCUGAGUGGGCCUAAGAGAAAUACUAGAUCUGGGAUGACAACCCGACCCAUACAGAACGAAAGUUAAGAAGUCAGAUUGAUAGCCCAUUUCGAGAUGAUGGAUUAAUGAGUAGCGUCUAGCCCCGCGGAGAGGGCU